CGGACGGGUGAGUAAUGUCUGGGAAACUGCCUGAUGGAGGGGGAUAACUACUGAAACGGUAGCUAAUACCGCAUAACGUCGCAAGACCAAAGAGGGGGACCUUCGGGCCUCUUGCCAUCGGAUGUGCCCAGAUGGGAUUAGCUAGUAGGUGGGGUAACGGCUCACCUAGGCGACGAUCCCUAGCUGGUCUGAGAGGAUGACCAGCCACACUGGAACUGAGACACGGUCCAG
rnacentral:rRNA from 1 species